GGCCAGGUGGCGGAGUGGUAACACAUGCGAGACAAAUACAUAGCCUGCAAUGUUUCCUUGCAAGGUCUCCGUUUGAUUCAGGGUCUGGCCU